GUCGAAACUGCCAAACAGCUACUAGAAGAAACUUUGGCAGGGGGCCAGGCAGAAGACCUGUGUCUAGAGCUGCAAAAAGCCAGCAAGCAGCUGGAGGAUAUCAGCAAGCAUGUAAGGGGCAGCCCAGUUCCUCUGUGUGGGGCAGCAGGAGAUGCCGAGGGCUGUGUCCGACGCGUGGCCGCCCUGGGGAAGGGAAUCGCGCGUUCCGAAUGCUGUGCCUCCCUGCAAGAGUGGAACCAGCAGAGGAAGUAAAAUUUGAGGGGGUGGUGACAACAGUUUGCUGAUGAAAGAGGCAGCAUUGCAUAUUUGUGGUGGCUUAAAAAAAAAAAAAGAGAAAAGAGGGGGAAAAAAAAAGGCACCCAAAAAUAGCUUCCAUACACAGUCCACCCCAACGUAAAAAUGCAGAAGUUCAGAGGGAGCUUUAUCACUUCCUGAGAAAGAACAGAUGCAGUUUGGUUUCAUUUACAUGAACGGUAGAGCCUUCUUGUGCUAGCCAGGCUGCUUUAUUUUAUAUUUUUUUUAUUCCUUUCUUUUUUCCCUAAAUAUUGUUUUGUGCCUAGGCGGAGGAUCAAGCUGAAGCAUUUCACUCUGCUCGUGAAGAAGCAGCAUCCUUGAAGAGCAAGUUGGAGGAAGCCAUUUCUGAGCAGCAGAAGCUCAGGGAUGUGAAUGCUGCUUUAGAAAGCACUUGCCAACUGCUUCAGGAGAAGGUGGAAGACCACAAAAUGCUGUGCAGAGUCAGAGUCUGAGUGCGCUCUGCUGCCCACGGUAGUUGCACACAUAAAAGGGCAGCAGCUCCACUGCUCCAAAAGACCAUGGAAUGAGGGACCCACCCUGUACUCUGACUUUCCCUGGGCACUGCCAUCAGGUGCUUCACGCUGGCACAACUCCCCUCUGCUAGAUGCUCUGACCUUGGAGACCUCCUGCCCAAAUAACCCUCCUGGGCACAGCUGGGACCAGCCUUGCAGGCAGAGCUCUGGCAGCUGCACCUUGGAGAGGCAUGAUGUGGGACACGUGUCCAGCUCAGAUGUGACCUCGGGAGGAUGCAGGUAAGGUGGUGUAAUCACCUUUUUGGGGUGCAAGGGGGGGAAGAGUCAAGCAGAUUCCAUGUGCUGGGU
rnacentral:lncRNA from 1 species